CACACACACACACAGAAGUUAAACUGAUUUUUGUUUUCAAUGUGAAUGAAAUAAAAUGUUUCAUUUAUGCGCUUAGACCUACCCACAUGUAUCUUGUCUCUCUUAAUUUUUUUGUCUACACUUGUGCCAUCCAUAAUAAGUUUGCUCACCUUGACAGUGCUUUUUGAGUUUCAAGGCCACACUAGAUACUAUAUGUGCCUUGUGAUUAAUGACUUGCUAGUUUGAGAUCACUGUCUAUUUGUAUUUCAAUGAGUCAUUAGGGAAUUGAGAUCCAGGAGGCUGAAAUUCCUGAUUUUUUUCCCCAAUGAAGAAACAGAUUUUCUAGUGAAAUCUAAACAGAAACAUUGGUAUCAGAAUUUAAUAUCAAUAUUGUGAUAUCUAGAUUGAGAUCAUAGCUAGAAGGCAGAAAGAGAGAGACUACUUCCCACACAUAUCCUUUCCUGUACGAGUCUAUAGUAUCUCACUAUUUCUGAAGGCUUAUUUAAUUCAUGUUGGCAUUCACCAACAUCUGAUAAACAUGUCACUCCUCACUAGGUGUUCUAACUGAAAACAGAGAUGGACGAAAUAUAUUCUGCAGUCUGCAAGUAAUAGGGGUCCAUUAUUCUAAUGAAAAUGUACAAAAUUUUGUUUGUAAUAAUAUUUGCAAAGUAAUCUAUGAAAAUAAACAUGAUGAAAGGGUGCCUACAUUAAUUUACAUGAUUUUGUACAAAGUUCUUUUUCAUAGAGAUUAAUUUUUGUGUACUGGAAGCUGCAUUUGCGUGUUAUAUAAUUUUUUCUCUUCUUUGGAUUUUUCUUCAGGGCAGUUCGAUGAUCAGUACCAAAAGGUAAGUAUUGUGGCUGUGUUUGCCUAGCAGAAAUCAGCCAAGAAUUCUAACAAUGUACUAAAUUCAAUUGUCAAAGAUAUAAUCUGUAGAAAACAUCUACCUCAUCUGACAAACAUGAUUUCAAUUCAGGAAAUAGCUCACAAUCAUUCUAUUGGAUCUGACAUCAGCGGUAUCCACACAGCCAUUCUGAGCAAACUCCCUGCUUUUAAAGGUCUUCCCAUCACUGUUACUGGUCUCACAAAUGAUGAAGUAUGACACUCCAUAAACAAUGAGCUGGGCCUUUUGUAGGCUGCUUUGCUUUUUUUGGCUUCAAACUGCCACUGAAUGUCAAAUCAAUUUGGCUUUCAUUAGAACAGCUUUAUAUGUGCAAAUGUAUUUGUGUCUGGUUGCCAUUUUUUUCUAUUUUUGCCUUCCUUUCCCUUUGCUUUUUUUUUGUCCUUUCUCUUGGACGAUGUAAUUUUUCUCUAAUCAAAGCCAACACCUGUUUCGCUAAAAUAGGAGCCUCUGUGUAAAGCUCUUUAUCACAAUCUGAGUACACUCUAGAUGGACUCAUUAUGAAUCAAGUUCCCUCAGAACAAAGAGGAAAUGCUGUGCUACACUGACAUUAUACAACAUAGAGCCUGGAUAAAGUCAAGAGCUGAUGUAACCCUGACUUUUAACAUCCCAAGAGACUGCUGUCUAGAUAAUGCAAGGUGUGUAAGCCACUCUCUUUGAUAAGUAAUAAAACAAAUAAUAAAUCUGACCCUGUGUUUAAGAGCAGCCUAACUGUUACACAAUGCUGUAUUGGGUUUGGUGGGGUUUUUUAGUAUUUUUUUUUUCUUAACCAAUUUAAAAGGAACACAGAAUUGCAACUUUGAGGAUUUCUGGUUUUGUAAACCACAAGCCUGCUUAGACAAGCUAAAUGAAUAAUACCAUACAAUGAGAGGAAUAGAACAACAUAAGGAUGACAGAACUCCCAGUUCUAAGUCAGUGAAGAUCUGGUCUAAUGAAGUACGUUGCAAGUAGUCUGAAAUUACUGAAGUUUAAGAAAAAUUAAAGGGGGAAAGAAACACUUAUGUGCUGAAAGGCUACCAUAAACUCUGCGUUGUGACACAUUUGAAAGAAACACAGGCUCACUUUUCAUGCACCUAAGACCACCUUGCCUCUAUGAGACUUGUCUCAUGGAAAUAACUGCUGAAGAGUAUGGUGCCUGAAAUGGCAUUGGACUGUGGUGAACAAUGGCAUAAAAUUCCUUUUAUGGAAAGUCAGUGUAUGUUUCGAUUCACUUCAUAGAAUCACUAAGGUUGGAAAAGAGCUCUAAGAUCAUCAAGUCCAAUCAUUAACCGAGCACCAUCAUGUUCACUACUAAGCCAUAACCCCAAGUGCCACAUCCGCGUUUUUUUGAACACUUCCAGGGAUAGAACAUUUUCAGGAGAAAUAUAUGUUUUUGAAUAAUUACCUAACUAUAACCAGGUCAGAUGCAUGUUUAAUCCCAAGUAACAACGCACUUUUAAGACACAUGCUGUGUCCUCUUGCUAGUGUUGAUCCUUUUGCAAAGAAACAGAAAUAUUUUUUACUUCUUUAAAUGGAAAUAUUUACAUUUUAGAAUAUAGGGAACCUACAGAUAGACAGUAGGAGUGAGACAGAAAAAAAAAUCAUGCUAACUAUAUCCCAACUCCCUCUAAAUAUGAAGAGGGAAUUGGUACUUAUGAAGGAAGAAGCUUUGUCUGGACAUGGUAAAAUAGAAAUAAGAUGAAAGAACCCUUGCUCACCACUUGCAAUAAUGGGUUAAAACAUCUUCAGAGGACCUCAGGCUGUCCAAGAAGAGUCCUUGCCCAGUUUGUGAGAGGAUGAAUUCACUCCUGUAUGAAGGGACUCUGUCAGAUACUCUCAAGGAAAAUGCCUAUUUUCAGAGCUAAAAAGGUUUGCUUGGGUCAAAUACUCACUGAUUUUAAAUCUAGUGCUAACUCUAACUGAAAUAUAUUGGUAAUCUGCCAUCUGUGGUUUUCUUGAGCAGAAAUUUUGACUGAAGUCCAGGUUCUAGUAGAUAUGAGGUCACAUUACCAAAUCCAUCCUCCUACUCAACAUCAUCCUUCAUAGUGUCUUACUAUGUCACUGCCUUUGGAUUAAGGACCACAGCAAAGUACAGAAAAUGCAGAUACUUCAGUUGCCAAGUCAUUUCUUGGUCUCUCUGUUGAAGCUAUCUAUAGUGAAUGUUUCAUUGCUGACAUCUAUUCUAGCCUCAGUAUUGUCAAAGCAUUUUUUCAUGUGUAAUAAAUUUGCAUAAACACUUCACCCCAAAUAUAAUGAAACAUAGAAAGAAUAAGAAAGACCUAAAUUAUAUUUUAAAAAAAUACUAAAAGACUUCUUGAUUGAUUUGUAGAGGCAUAGCAAAAUUCCUUCAUAUAGUGGCCUCAUGAAUGAGAUGAUAAUAUGCAAGUAAAGCAUAAUGAUUGGCAUUUUAAAUGCAAGAUCUUUGUCACCAUCUGUUUCCUGAUUGUGUCAGCAAGUUGGGUUUUUUUUCAUGGAAGUGUGAGAAUACACCAUGGCCUCGAAGUAUCAAAAUGUCAAUUAUACAUCACAUUUUAAAGUUGGAAGCCUAAAUCACAAUUGUCCCUGAAUUCUGCUUGAAACAGUGACAAAUUAUUACCUAUCCUUCACAUUUAACCUUACUGUGAAAUAGUGUAGUUAUUGUACUGGAAACUAAAACAGAGCAGGAACACUAGAGAGGCCAGGUUUACAAUUUAGUGAUGAAUACUUUUAAAAAAAUUUAAGACAGAAGGAGACAGGAAGAGAACUAAGAAUUCAAAACAAAAUGAAUAGUUGCAGAGCAACCCUAUCAAAUACUUGUUAUUUCAAGCUCAAGUACUUUGAAAACAGUUUUGCAUUUCUGGUAUUUUCCAUUGCAAAUAGUGCUCACUUAUAAGGAAGACAGUAUUCCUUUUUCUAUGUUUUCACCUAUACUGACAGAAAAAAAAAUGUAUCCUGAUUAGUACAAUGAACCAUUAGAAACUGCAGAAGUAGAAAACCUAAAAUGAAGGAAACUUUCUUCUAAUACAACAGGCCCCAGUUUACACUCUCAAUGGUCUUAUAUAAGAGUUUGUGGGAGAUAAUGUUUUAAUGUCUCACAAUAGGAUGAGGUCCACUAGCACCAUUAGCUACCAGUAUCAGCAGCCCAGAGGAGAAGGCACACAAAAAAGCUCCUGAUUGUGGUUCAGAAAUAUGAAUGCAAGACCCUCCCAGAACUGAAAAGUCCACUAGUGCCUCAAGGUGCCUUUUGGGGGUCUGAGUCCCAGCUCGUGCAUCUCACAAGAUGUCAACUGAAUACAGAAUCAUAAAAUAUCCUGCGUUGGAGGGGGCCCGCAAAGAUCAUUGAGGUCUGUUUCCUGGCCCUGCACAGAACAAACCCAAGAAUCACACCAUGUGCCAUGUUCCAGGUAUUAGUCAAUGAUUUUCAAAGGGUCUUGUUUUCCUGCUAUUAUGAAUGACUUUUGAAGAAACACCUGGAAAUGCUAAAAUUGUGUGGUGACAGCAAAGUGCUGGAAUAAAAGAGGGAAGAAGUUGGAUAUCCUGACAGUUCUGCAGUUCACCAAGUCUGUUAUUUCUGUUCUGUCUUUAUAAUGGCCAUAAAAGAUGAGCUGGGAGUAUGAUGUCAACGCAUCCACAUUCAAUAAUUGAUAUGAUGAAUAAUCUCAACCUCCUGACACUUUCUGUAUCUUUUCACAUCUCAGGAAACUUCAUUCAUCAACCACAUUUGAAAUGUUUAAGUAAUCUUAGUGAUGUAUGGAGCACUGAAACUCCCUUGUUAGAAAUCUAUGCUACUAACAUGCUAUCAAAUUAAAAAGCCACUGAGCUCUUGUGCAUAAAAUUAUCAUAAAUUAUCUCUGAAGGUUCAUUGCUGUUUGGAAUGUUUAAUUGCUCACUCAGCUGAACUUCAGCAGCUCAAGAUUAUUAAUCAAUUUGUCAGAAGGUUUCUCAUAAUGUCAUCUUUUACACUGCAGUUAUAUGCGUGGAAAACUCAUGUGCAAGACAGUUUUAUGCAGCAAGUCGAAAGUAGCCAUGCAUACCUUUCACAAUAUUAAUUUCAUAUAUUCGAGAGUAUUUUUUAGAUGUUGAUUUGUCACAGAGGAUGGGAAAAUUGUAAUUACCACAGUCUAAUUUAUCUAAAUGGAAAACUAGAUUCUCAAAAACAUAUUUAUAAGGAAGAAUGGAGACAGAUAAUAAGAAUGGAAGUUUUGAAGCAUUUAAUCCUGGCCUAGUGUUGAUCGUUCUCACUAAAGUAAAUAUUUCUGUUAAGUUUAGUAACAGUAAAGAUGCUUCAAAAAUGCCAUACCUUAAAUGUACAUGAACAGCUUCUUCAACCAUUUGUCUUACCAAAAAAUGAACCAUUGCUUUAAAGUAAUUUUUCAGGAGAGAAUUUGGCUUUGAUGACAUACUAAAACAAUACAUUUUGUCUUUGAGAUAUGUUUCAAUAUUCGUUUUGAAAAUAUCUUUUAAGAGUUAUGAAUUCAUCCUUUUUAUACAGUUUUCUUUCCAUUCUUUUGUUUUACAAGUGCAACUGAGGGUGAGACCUUAUGAGAGGGGUGAUGAUAAUGUUUCUAUUUAUAAUUUUUUUAUCUAUCAGUUUUUUAGGUGUUUUUUGGUGCAGCAACAUAGAAAUAAAGGAUUCUGCAUUUCCUGCUCUGGAGAAUUUAAAAAUGCUUUAGAGUAAUAUAAUUAAGGAUUUUUUAAGCCACUCCAUGUAUUUUCUUAAGCUGAAAAAGUUUUAAAAUAUAAAGACUGGAAACAUUAUUAUGGACCUUAUCCAUUUUCUUUUACUCUGUGAAUGAUCAUCAUAUUGUUUCCUAUGCGUGUGGAAAGAUAGAGAGUAAAUGCAAACAUAUAGUCAAUAAGUUUCAAAUAUCUAUUGUAUAUUAAGCAUUUAUGCAUCAUAUCACACCAUGGUAUUUCUACAAAAAAACUGAAAAUGAAAGAAAACAUCUGUAUUUUUUCUUUGUCAAACUUCUUUCAGGCAUCAGAAAUAUGCUGGAAAUGGGCAUUAGUAUUUUUUUUCAACAUAUAUUUUCACUGUAAUCCUUUAAAGCCUUUCUUAAAACAAAUUAUGUCCUUUAGCAGAUGAUAAAAUGGGAAACAAAACACUAGUAAUAAAUACAUUACAUUUCUAUACUUUCUGACAUCUGGAGUUAUCAAAGCACAUCACUACAAAUGCAAAACAGCUCCUUGGUACAAUUUCAUCACCAUUACCCAUCUCCAUUACAACACAACUUCUAGCACCAAGAAAUAAAGAUUGUCUUUAUCUUUGACAUUGAUUCAAACCGAAAAUGAUAUGCCAAAGAUUGAGUAUAAAAUCUUCCUAAGAAAUAGGAAGAGAAGCCAGAUCUUCAGAUUCCCAAUAUCUUAAUGUAUGAAUCCUUCCUUCAUCACCCUACUCAACAGAUGCACAACUGAGCUGUGAUUAGAUAGAUUAUAGACUCUCCAGUCUAUAAUCCUUUUUGUUAUUUGCACUAUACAAAUCUGCCAUAGCACAUAUUAGCACUAGGAAAAUAUAGGAAUAGGAAAUGAAGAGAGGAAAAUAUUUAAUGCACCAUGUAUGUAGCAGAUCACAACAAUUCCUAGAAAUGUUCCGUUCUGUAAGGUCUGUCUUGUUCUUCCUUUAUUCAACAUCAAUUUAUCCAUUCGUUGGUUACUGCAAAUCAGCUUGAAUGUGAACAUACUAUUAUGCAUGAUCUCACACCUGCACUUGCCUCAAGUGUAAACAAACCCAUCAGUAAGAAUCAAGACUGUUGCUACUGUUUCAAUUAAAAAAACCUGAGGAUUAGACAUCAGUUUUGUAUAUUACAAAGAAGGUUAUGCAUCUCUGGCCAUAUACAGAGAAAAUGAAAGUGGUGCUGUAAUUAGUUCAUCAAUAAAUCAAUGGAAGUCAAUGAUAACCAGCAUAGUUCAGAUGUCAAGAAUCCAGAAGGAUUUGUGUACAAUAAAAUAAAGAUCAAGAAACAAAAUAAAUUGGAGUCCUUAGCUUUACUUAUUUUUAUAAUAUUUCUGUUAGUUUCUUCUCCUUUCACAACUUCACCUCUCUUCUCAUUUAAACAUGAAAGCUAGAGUAACUUCUAUUGUCAUUCAACUAUUUAGAACAACUCCCUGGUGACUAAAUUUCUCCAUAAUUUAUAUCAACUUUGAACCUGAACUAGAAAUUCUAGUGAUGUAGAUGUCAGUCCUUCCACACCCAGAGACAGGGGUGUUACAAGUAAACAUUGUUAGUGCAGAUUUUGUCUUUCCAUGUACCAGAGCACCUAAAGUAACACACUAAGGCAUGCUUGCAUAUCAGAAAGUGCGUUAGCCUUUGAUGUAUAUCUUCCUCAGUAUGACUCAUUAAUUUAAUAGCUCAUAGCACUCCAUUAUGUUAGUUCAACUAUGACAUGUACUGUAGUGCAUGCAUGAAAGGUUCUUAUGAAAUGUUUACUUGAAAAAAAUGCUAUAUUUAAACAUAAAAAGAAUUAGAAAUAGCAUUCUGUUAUCUUUUAACAGGUACAAAUAUUAUUGGUCCUGAAUUUGUACACAGUUUUAGACAUAAAAGAGAUUCUUUUAAUAAGACAUUAUUUUAUUCUAUUUUAUUCUAUUUAUUUAUUCUAGAAACUGAAAUACUGAUAACCAUAUUUUAACUUAGGAUAUUUAUUUGUUUCACUAUCCAUUUGAGUCACUUUCUGUUAUUAUGGAUUUGUCCCUAUCUAUGCCAACAAGUAAUGACUUUACUUGAGGAAGAAUAAACAGUGAUAAAAAUCAGUUCCAAGGAACUCAGUUCUCAGUGUCUUUUGAAACACUGUGCAUCAAUGCACUCUCAGAAGUAAUUAUCUAUGCAGUUGAUUUCUAAAGCUUGAACUUGCAUGGUCCCAGUAACCAUUCCAGGCCCUCUUGUAAACUCGUUUUCCAGCAGUUGUUAUUUUAGAUUCUUAUAUUUGAUGGAGUUAGCAAAAAUAACCUGUGCCUCCUAUCAUGCUGAAAGAUAAGUGACUUGAUAUAUUAGUGAGUAGAACUCUCAGAUGAACAAAUCAUACUGAUUUUUUUUUUUUUUCUACCAAGAGCAACUGUCCUGGUUCUGGUUGGAACAGGGUUACUUUUUGCAGUAGCCAGGAAGGGACAUGGCUGGGACCCAGAGGUUAUUCUAUACCACCUCACAUCAUUGCCAGGGGCAGGGGGAAGGGAGUUUAUUCUGAGGAGAAGGGGUUCCUUCCAGUUGAGUAAGUGUGAUGCUGGUUCCAAGCCACAGGAAGCGGUUGGGUAACACCAGUUCCAAGCUGGAGGGAGUGUUAAAGACAUGGAAAAAGAAACUGUAAGACUAAGUUGCUUAAACACAGUUCAUGGUAAGGAUGAAUUAACAUAUUUUGAAUACAAGGGACCAGAUUCAUUCAAAUCUCCCUGGAUGACACAAAUCAUCCACAAAAGUACCCAACCCAAACAUUGCUUCUUUUUCUUGGAGAAACAGCCAGCUCUUUCAUUCCUUUUAGCAUGGUUUUAGCAUAGGAAAUCCUUUUUAGAAUAGGAAAUGCUUUUAGCAGGUUAAAAUUGUCAUUCCUUCAUCAGAUGUCCUUGUGAGGGAGUGUAGGUGAAAGAAUUCUUUGCAUAUAGAAGACUCUUACUGGGUAAUAAAUCUCAUGCCUGAAAGCGUGGGUCUUCUGAAGAAUCCCCCUAGUGAUUCACAAACCUCUUCAUAAAGAUGGUGAUGUGAAGGGUGAGACGACAUAGGCAGCUUUAUUUGUGGCUGCAAAUAACACUAAGCCUAAAAACAUUACAAACAGCCAUGUUCAUUUACAUGCUUAAAAACACAGGAUUUAUCUUUGUGGGUUUCUGUAAUGGCAGUGCAGGCUACCCACACUUGUCUUGACAGCAGCUAGGAUAGUAGUCAGUCACGAAUCAUUAGCAUUAGGCUUCUUAAGCAGUUGGAGACAAUUUCACCAAAAAUUAAACACGUUAGUGGACAAGAUUUCUUUAAGAGUCUAUGUUUCUUAUGAAUAAGAUGUCCCAACAGCCAGCAAUGAAGUGACAGAUGGAAAUGCAGAGCUUCUCUACACUGAUCAGGUUCCACUAUGUUUAUACAAUCAAAUUAGCUGGAACAACAUAGGUGGAUAAUUGAUUGUGUCAUCCUCAUGGCUUCUGCCUCUUCUACAUAUCUGAUAAUAGUUCAAACAAAGGUGGUCCAUGUGAACCUUUAUUAUAUUCUUUGAGAUCCCAACCCGUCUCUUCUCACUGCUAGAAAGAACAAGUAAGCAACAGUUUGAUCUUUGUGCAAACCUAAUUCUUAUAAGGAAGCAACCAGUUGAAAGUCAUGCCUUAAAGCUGAUGAUAGCAGUUGAGAUGGAAUGAACAUGCUGGUUGAACUACAUAUUUCGAUUCCAGCUUCCACAGCUAGAAAAAAAAUAUGGUGCCAAUAUUUUCUGCACAUCUACCACUGGCAGGCCUUCAGUACCAUUUCUGAUGUAACCUAAAGGUCUGCUGUUCUUUUCUGGCAGUUUGAUACAUUGCAUCACCAUAUAACAUUCUGUUAGUAAUGACCGUAUGGAAUUUUCUGUCUUCUCUGAUAUAAAAGCUCUCUAAAUUCCACAAUGAAUAAUAGAUUAGAUCCUAUAAAAUGCUGAAUUUCCUUAAAUGUUAAUUAUUCUAGUUACAUUUAAAUAUUUUUGAGAGAAGCAAAUUGGCCAGAAAUACUAGUUGGACAAACACUCUAUUGAGUUCUUGACAUUGUUCCACAUAAUCAGACAUUAGUAUGGAAAGACUCCAAGCUUUCCUCUAUGACAUUUCAGUGGUAAUUCCUUUGAUUUACCAAUGGAAUGUUUUGUUUCAGUUGAUGUUUGAUUGACUCCAUGACCUAAGCAGUACAGAGAAUGUAUUGAAAUGUAUUCUCAUUUGUGCGUGUUGAGUCUAAUUGUCACCCAUGAAAAUAAACAA